UACAGAGGGUGCAAGCGUUGCUCGGAAUUAUUGGGCGUAAAGGGCAAGUAGGUGGUCUCAUUUGUCUGGGGUGAAAGCCUUGAGCUUAACUCAAGAAGUGCCCCAGAAACGGUGAGACUGGAGUCCUGGAGAGGGUCGUGGAAUUCCCGGUGUAGCGGUGAAAUGCGUAGAGAUCGGGAGGAACACCAGAGGCGAAAGAGGCGACCUGGACAGGUACUGACACUCAACUGCGAAAGCGUGGGGAGCAAACAGG
rnacentral:rRNA from 1 species